rnacentral:tRNA from 1 species
GGGGAUACAGCUCAGUUGGUAGAGUGCUUGCCUUGCAUGCACAAGGUCCUGGGUUCAAUCCCCAGCACCACCA